rnacentral:rRNA from 1 species
CGCGUGCCUAAUACAUGCAAGUCGAACGAACUCUGGUAUUGAUUGGUGCUUGCAUCAUGAUUUACAUUUGAGUGAGUGGCGAACUGGUGAGUAACACGUGGGAAACCUGCCCAGAAGCGGGGGAUAACACCUGGAAACAGAUGCUAAUACCGCAUAACAACUUGGACCGCAUGGUCCGAGUUUGAAAGAUGGCUUCGGCUAUCACUUUUGGAUGGUCCCGCGGCGUAUUAGCUAGAUGGUGGGGUAACGGCUCACCAUGGCAAUGAUACGUAGCCGACCUGAGAGGGUAAUCGGCCACAUUGGGACUGAGACACGGCCCAAACUCCUACGGGAGGCAGCAGUAGGGAAUCUUCCACAAUGGACGAAAGUCUGAUGGAGCAACGCCGCGUGAGUGAAGAAGGGUUUCGGCUCGUAAAACUCUGUUGUUAAAGAAGAACAUAUCUGAGAGUAACUGUUCAGGUAUUGACGGUAUUUAACCAGAAAGCCACGGCUAACUACGUGCCAGCAGCCGCGGUAAUACGUAGGUGGCAAGCGUUGUCCGGAUUUAUUGGGCGUAAAGCGAGCGCAGGCGGUUUUUUAAGUCUGAUGUGAAAGCCUUCGGCUCAACCGAAGAAGUGCAUCGGAAACUGGGAAACUUGAGUGCAGAAGAGGACAGUGGAACUCCAUGUGUAGCGGUGAAAUGCGUAGAUAUAUGGAAGAACACCAGUGGCGAAGGCGGCUGUCUGGUCUGUAACUGACGCUGAGGCUCGAAAGUAUGGGUAGCAAACAGGAUUAGAUACCCUGGUAGUCCAUACCGUAAACGAUGAAUGCUAAGUGUUGGAGGGUUUCCGCCCUUCAGUGCUGCAGCUAACGCAUUAAGCAUUCCGCCUGGGGAGUACGGCCGCAAGGCUGAAACUCAAAGGAAUUGACGGGGGCCCGCACAAGCGGUGGAGCAUGUGGUUUAAUUCGAAGCUACGCGAAGAACCUUACCAGGUCUUGACAUACUAUGCAAAUCUAAGAGAUUAGACGUUCCCUUCGGGGACAUGGAUACAGGUGGUGCAUGGUUGUCGUCAGCUCGUGUCGUGAGAUGUUGGGUUAAGUCCCGCAACGAGCGCAACCCUUAUUAUCAGUUGCCAGCAUUAAGUUGGGCACUCUGGUGAGACUGCCGGUGACAAACCGGAGGAAGGUGGGGAUGACGUCAAAUCAUCAUGCCCCUUAUGACCUGGGCUACACACGUGCUACAAUGGAUGGUACAACGAGUUGCGAACUCGCGAGAGUAAGCUAAUCUCUUAAAGCCAUUCUCAGUUCGGAUUGUAGGCUGCAACUCGCCUACAUGAAGUCGGAAUCGCUAGUAAUCGCGGAUCAGCAUGCCGCGGUGAAUACGUUCCCGGGCCUUGUACACACCGCCCGUCACACCAUGAGAGUUUGUAACACCCAAAGUCGGUGGGGUAACCUUUUAGGAACCAGCCGCCUAAGGUGGGACAGAUGAUUAGGGUGAAGUCGUAACAAGGU